AGAGAUGUGGCUUAGUGGUAGAGCGCUUGCCUAGCAUGCAUGAAGCCCUGGGUUCCAUUCCUCAGUGCUA
rnacentral:tRNA from 1 species